CCGAGUUGAUAACCUCUGAAUAUCUCCGGAAAUGUAUUAUGACGACAUAAAAAGCAUCGACUGAUAAGCUUAUAAAAUACAUCAUGUAGUUAAGGUUUGUACUGCGGCAAGGGGUAAACACGCAGGAGAAUAGAGCUUUUGUUGAAUUUACGACUGUGACCGUUGUUUCUUGAAAAACUGUUUGUUUCAAUGACUAUGAUGUUUUUCUUAUUCUCAAGUUGGAGUGGCUAUACAUCAAUUUGGCUCGAACAUUAAAUCAAUCUAUACUUGAAGUGGAAAUGAUUCAAAGGUUAAGAAAAAGAGCAGCGAAUUAACUUUUUGUCACAGGUAAGAAAUACAUAUAAAGAAAACACACAAAUAUCUGCAUUCUUGCUCAGUUAGCGAUCGUAAGAAAUGAUCAAUUAAUAAUCAGUAGGAUCAACUCAUUGAUCUCAAUGGUAUUAUUACGAAUACUGUAUUUAGAGAAGCGUAUUUCUCGAUGUACCUGCAAGAUUUUUUUUGCGACGUCUUCAUUAAAUAUAUUAAAAUUACUUCAGCUGCUCCACAAAAAGAAAAACUCAUGGACUUUGGUGCAGGUAAUAUGAUUCCCUUACGGAGUCUCAACGAUAAUCAGCAGAGGAUCUCACCUGGAACAGAAAACACACAAAAACCCCACCGAUCAAAAUUUUGAGGGAGAAGGCUUGAACCUUGCAACUGUCGUUAGAGGGAAACGGAAGCUCGUCAGCUUGGCAGCAGCCGAGACACAAAAGGACCGAAAACCGGAGGAGCUUUCUUUCUCACGACCGGAACGGAAACCAGGCCUGCCAACUUGUAGCAGAUGAAAAAAACGCUCAUUCCGGACCAUCGACCGACACUUUCCAAAGGACGCAAUCACAAUCAGCCGCGUGCCUCUUUAGGUAUCGGUAACUAAAAAGUCUCGUGCGUUUCUACACCAAUGAACUGCUCCUUCCGAAAUAAAACUAAAUCAAGCGUAGAGAAAAUUUAAUGAAGAGAGCUAGCCAUGUAAUCGGGUGUAUGGCAAAAUUCAAAUUCGGAAGUCAACGCUUUUUUUAGCCGUACCACGUAUGGAUUACAUUUAGCAAUAAGGGACCAAUAUUUCAGGCUCUCCCAUAAAAGCACUUAACUGCAAAGGGAAACCAAUGUCAUGUAUGUUGUUUCUAAAAUGGGCGAGAAAUAGUGGGUCCUUAUUCCAAAGUGUAAUCCGUAUGAUGGUUGAUGAGCAACUUGUUGAGGGAGAAUUCAAUUAGAAUUCGCCUCAUGAUGUCUGAUGGACAUCGUGAUGAGAACUUUGCUUCCUGGGCGAGUUUUAAUAAUCUUGGGUCACUUAGGAAUUAAUUUUCAUUGAGUUUGAGUGAACUUGUUAGUAAAUUUUGAAAGUGUUUCAUUUGCGUUUACCGUGAAGUGAUGAGAAAUCAUUUGUAUUUUAUUUCUUAUCAGGGGUUCAUUUUGGAAUACGAGGAGUAUUUAACGAAACAUGGGACAGGAUACGCAUCCCGAGAUGCAAAAUUUCAUGAAACUUAAUGAAAUGAACUGUUUUAAAACUUCAGCCAUGUACUCUACAUGCCAUGAAACGCAGCAGUAAGUAAAAUCUUCGUUCAGGAAUUUUUCUUUAAAAAAUAUAUUAAUCUAAAAAAAGAAAAAAUUAAAUAAAAAUUGAUGGUUCUGAUUGAAUUCUGUCAUGAUCGUUGCAGGUUCCAUACCUAUGCCGCCCCUAAAACCAAUUUAUUGUAUUUUUGCAAUUAGUAUUGAUUUUAUAUUGAUUGAAUUUUGCCUGGAUUCUUCACAAAAUUACUUUUAUCACAUAAAAUUGAUCAGCUUAUGAUGACAUACCGAGGCAUUUUGGCUGAGACCAUCUUCAGGGGGUAGUUGAACAAUUAUAAAUUACAAGACGAAGUAGCAUUAACAUGGCACAACAGUAAAAUAAAAAUGCAGAAAAAGCACGUGCUAAAAACACGUUGAAAUUUUAUGACAAAUAAAAUUUCACUCUUCAGCGAAAUGAGAUUUUUGGUGAAAUUGAAUUUUGUAUCUCUUUACGCGCCCGGAGAAGGCAUGCACGAAACGGCGUAACGUCCAAUGGCGAGGCGUGAAUGAUCGAUUAUCGAUAUUAUCCCAUUUGAAGCUGAGGUAAAGAUUCGAUCAUUCAGGUGUCCAUUGCAGACACCCUGUCUAUCGAUCCUUUUCCAUAGGCUUUACGGCAGAUCAAUCGAUAUAUCGACACACACAUCGAUGUACGCCACACCACUAGUCGCUUUGCAUCGUGACGAAGGCGACUCGAGUGUUACGACUCCGUUCUUCCCAGUAGAAUAACGACCGCCGCUAAUUCGACAAUAAACCUGACGCUGAACACCUCUUCAAACGCAAAAAAGAGAGUGAAAAUCAUCGACGCGAGCGCGGCGUAAGGACUCUUAGCGAGGUGCGUGCCUUUGUGUUAAAAACGGAUUGAUCAGCGAUUAAAAAUGGAGAGCUAUGCCUUUCGCCGUGGAGAGAGCUCCUUGUAAGAGUCCACGACGGCAGAGUGACGAAAAUGGAAGGGGACUGAGUCUUUCAGCUGGAAAUUUCGGCUACUGAAGGAUGCUGAUAAAGUUCGAGGGUCCUCAAAAAGAAGUGGCUGUUAGCGAUCGAAUUUCAGAUGAAACACAAGCAACUCUUCUAGACGAAUUAAGACUGAACGGGUUCUCGAUGAGUUUACGCUGGAAGACAGACUAAAUGAAUUUUUUUACUUAUUUCUACUGCACAAUAAUAACUGAAGAAUCCUCAGUAUCUACCACUUGGUAACUUUUCCAAAAAUACCUGAUGGCGGGAUGAAUAAACUAGAGAGCUAAUAAUUCCUCGUCAGACAAGAAAAUCCAAGAUCCAACAGGCAAAAUCAAAUGGAAACAGAGUGCGAGUCUAACACAAAUUUUUAAUUGUUCAAACAAAUAAUGGACCUUCACCAAACGCGGUGAGGUGACUUUAAAGCCACGCCAGUUUCCCUUCAAUUUUUGGUAGGCAACACGAGCUCAUACAUGGUGGAAUAGUGGUGUCACCGAGAACUGACCUUUACCAAACGUGAAGAGGUGACUCUCACAUCAUUCCACUUGCCUUCAAUUCUUGGGUUGGCAACACGAGCUCCCGCACCUGUUCGAAUAGUGGUAUCAUCGUAAAAUGGCACAGUUACUCGAAGCGCACACAAAAAGAAGACCUUUACAAAUCACGAGGAGUUGAUUUUAACUUACUGAGUUUGCCUUCAAAUUCCAGUGUGGUAGCCCACGACAUGUUUUUUUAAAUAUGUCAGUGGGCCGAUUGUUGAAAUUGAUAGACAAAACUAUAGACAAAGGAGACAACAGGGAUAUGGAGGGAUCCUAUUGGUGGAAGCGGAUGGUUGGAAUAAACAUAGGAGGUAGGUGAUGGGGUACCUAACGGCAACCCGCAAGAGACCUUAUAGUUAAUCAAUCAUUUUCUUUCUUAGUCUAUAUAUAUAUAUCAUUCAUUUCAACCAAUAGUAUCAUUCCAUACUUCUCGUGUCUUCUUUGCCGCUUCAGCCCGCUGCGGGCUGAUUGUUUAAAUUGAUAGACAAAACGAUAGAGAGAGAAAACAAAGGGAGUAUGGAGCGAUCCUAUUGGUAGAAAUAGUUGGUUCCUAUAGACUGAGGGAGAAAAAGAUGGACUAACAAAGGGUCUUUCGUGGGUUGCCGUUAGUUACUCUAUUACCUUCCUCCUUGGUCCAUUGCAACCACCCGCUUCCACCAAUAGAAUCUCUCCAUACGUCUUUUGUCUCCUUUGUCUAUAGCUUUGUCUACCAAUUUCAACAAUCCCUCAGUUACCGUCAUCUUCCAAAAGAGGAAUUUAUUCGCACUUAAACCAUGUUGGAACCCAAAUUUGGCAACUGAUACGAAACUAGUUGUAAGUUAUCAUAACCAGGAUCAAUUUGACCCAUGGGCCGAGGACUCAGGUUUCGAGCCUCCCGCUGGGGUCCACUUUAACAUGAAGACUCUUCAUAUUUCAGCUCCUCUCCGUCCCUGCAAUGAGUUGCGGUUAUUGAUUUACCAGAGGGUCUCACAAGGACGCGGACGCUAAAAGAGUGAUGGUUCUCUUUCCGUGCGUAUUAAGCGAAUGUGUUAGAGAUAAUUUGAUUUAAUUAAUUUCGUUAACUCUUACUUUUUUCAACGAACGCCUGCUUUCGCGACUGAGCU
rnacentral:lncRNA from 1 species